AUUGAACGCUGGCGGCAGGCCUAACACAUGCAAGUCGAGCGGACGAAGGGAGCUUGCUCCUGGAUUCAGCGGCGGACGGGUGAGUAAUGCCUAGGAAUCUCCCUGGCAGUGGGGGAUAACGUCCGGAAACGGGCGCUAAUACCGCAUACGUCCUGAGCGACAAACUGGGGGAUCUUCGGACCUCCCGCCAUCCCAUGAGCCUAGGUCGGAUUAGCUCGUUGGUGGGGUAAAGGCCUACCAAGCCGCCGAUCCGUAACUGGUCUGAGGGGAUGACCAGGCACACUGGAGCUGAGACGCGGUCCAGACUCCUACGGGAGGCAGCAGGGGGGAAUAUUGGACGAUGGGGGGAAGCCUGGUCCAGCCAUGCCGCGUGUGUGAAGAAGGUCUUCGGAUUGUAAAGCGCUUUAAGUGGGGAGGAAGGGCAGUAGGUUGAUACCUUGCUGUUUUGACGGUACCGACAGAAUAAGCACCGGCUAACUUCGUG
rnacentral:rRNA from 1 species